rnacentral:rRNA from 1 species
UACGUAGGGUGCAGGCGUUAAUCGGAAUUACUGGGCGUAAAGCGUGCGCAGGCGGUUUCUUAAGUCAGAUGUGAAAGCCCCGGGCUUAACCUGGGAACUGCGUUUGAAACUGGGAGACUUGAGUGUGGCAGAGGGGGGUGGAAUUCCACGUGUAGCAGUGAAAUGCGUAGAUAUGUGGAGGAACACCGAUGGCGAAGGCAGCCCCCUGGGUUAACACUUACGCUCAUGCACGAAAGCGUGGGGAGCAAACAGG